rnacentral:lncRNA from 1 species
CCGGUAUCAAGUGAAUUUUUACAGUCUAUGAUACUCAAUAAUUUCUUGAUGUUUGUAAAUAGCUUUACUGAGAUAUAAUUCCCAUAGUACAGUUCAUCCACCUAAGGUACAGAGUUGUGCAUCCAUCACUGCCAUAAUUCACAAAUCUUACUGCCCCAACAGGAUACCCUACGCCCUUGCUCUUAUCCUCUGAUCUUCCAACCCUCUCCCCCACAGCUUUAGCCGACCUUAAACUUCCUUGCCAUUGUUACGGAUUUGCCUCUGGAGACCACACUUCACUGUGUUCCUCUGUGACUGGCUUCUUAGCACCAUGCUUUUUAUAGUUCAUCCACAUUGUCCCAUGUGUCAGUAUCUUUUUUGUUUUUUUUACACACUUGGUUCUUAAUCUGUGUCACUGGUAUCUGCCUUCAGUUUUAGGGCCAGCUGUUUCACUGACAGCGCAUGAGUCCCUCACCUUUAAGCAAAAGCUGAAGUUAAUCUUUCAUCCCUCAGUUGCGAAACAGUCCAAAAGCAGCCGCAGAAAUAGGUUCCUACCAAGGUACAUUGUCAUUUGGAGCUUGUUGAAACCCAGGGCUUGCCUCCC